rnacentral:rRNA from 1 species
AGGAUGAACGCUGGCGGCGUGCUUAACACAUGCAAGUCGAACGAUGAAGGCUGGAGCUUGCUCUGGCUGGAUUAGUGGCGAACGGGUGAGUAACACGUGAGUAACCUGCCCCAGACUCUGGGAUAAGCGCUGGAAACGGCGUCUAAUACCGGAUACGAGCUUCCACCGCAUGGUGAGGAGCUGGAAAGAAUUUCGGUCUGGGAUGGACUCGCGGCCUAUCAGCUUGUUGGUGAGGUAAUGGCUCACCAAGGCGACGACGGGUAGCCGGCCUGAGAGGGUGACCGGCCACACUGGGACUGAGACACGGCCCAGACUCCUACGGGAGCAGCAGUGGGGAAUAUUGCACAAUGGGCGCAAGCCUGAUGCAGCAACGCCGCGUGAGGGACGAAGGCCUUCGGGUUGUAAACCU